rnacentral:rRNA from 1 species
AGAGUUUGAUCCUGGCUCAGGAUGAACGCUAGCGGCAGGCCUAAUACAUGCAAGUCGAACGGUGAUAGCAAUAUCAUAGUGGCGCACGGGUGCGUAACACGUAUGCAACCUACCUAUUAUUGGGGGAUAGCCUUUGGAAACGGAGAUUAAUACCGCAUAAUACGAUUGACUGGCAUCGGUUGAUUGUUAAAGCUUUGGCGAUAAUAGAUGGGCAUGCGUCCAAUUAGUUAGUUGGUUAGGUAACGGCUGACCAAGACGAUGAUUGGUAGGGGAUAUGAGAGGAUAAUCCCCCACACUGGCACUGAGAUACGGGCCAGACUCCUACGGGAGGCAGCAGUAGGGAAUAUUGGGCAAUGGGCGGAAGCCUGACCCAGCCAUGCCGCGUGCAGGAAGAAGGCGUUAUGCGUUGUAAGCUGCUUUUUUAUAGGAAGAAGGAUCCCUUGCGAGGGAAGGUGACGGUACUAUAAGAAUAAGCACCGGCUAACUCCGUGCCAGCAGCCGCGGUAAUACGGAGGGUGCAAGCGUUGUCCGGAUUUAUUGGGUUUAAAGGGUGCGUAGGCGGUUUAUUAAGUCAGUGGUGAAAGACGGUCGCUCAACGAUUGCAGUGCCAUUGAUACUGGUAGACUUGAGUGAG